AUUCCAGCUCCAAUAGCGUAUAUUAAAGUUGUUGCAGUUAAAAAGCUCGUAGUUGGAUUUCUGGUGGGAGCACGGGUCGGCCUUCACGGGUUGUACUGUUGUUGCGUCCCGCCGUUUCGGAGGGAAUGGUCUCGCUAUUAAGUUAGCGUGAUCGGGAACUCUGUCGUUUACUGUGAAAAAAUUAGAGUGUUCAAAGCAGGCCUUCGCUGUGAAUACAUUAGCAUGGAAUAAUAAGAUAGGACUGUAGUGCUAUUUUGUUGGUUUGCGUACUAUGGUAAUGAUUAAUAGGGAUAGUUGGGGGUAUUCAUAUUCAAUUGUCAGAGGUGAAAUUCUUGGAUUUAUGGAAGAUGAACUACUGCGAAAGCAUUUACCAAGGAUGUUUUCAUCG
rnacentral:rRNA from 1 species